rnacentral:lncRNA from 1 species
GGACACAGAAGUCAGCAGAGCACUGUAGGCCAAGGGACUGCCCAGUGGCCAGAGCAAGUCACAGCCCAACCAACGUGGAAUAGGACUGAAGAGAGAUGUGAGUGUCCCCGAAGGGGCCCGGUCCUCAGUGACUGCGGGUCAGGAUGGCAUGGAUGGUUUGUAUUAUGCAAGGGCUCCAUGCAUAUCCUAGAUCCUAGUAACAGACGCAAAUGUACCAGCUUGAGUCAUAGAUCUUCUUUUUCUUUUGCAUGUCAUGAAGUCCAGGGGUAGGUUGCUCAGGGUAAGAGUGUGGCUCCAGGAUGUUGGCAGAGAGCCACAAGAUGGCUGAACCUUCUCCACAGCCCAUGCCCCCUCAAAGAAGGAGGAAACGGCAAAGUGCAAAGGCCAGUGCCAGCAGAAGACUCCUUUGUAGUAACAAGAGGGAAAAUAGUCAUGGAGUCACCAUACGUAUUAUUGGUCACAUAUAGUCACAUGGCUGCUCUUAUCUGCAAAGAAGGCUAUAAAAUAUUGUUUCAAGUUCAUACACUGCCAACUCCUACAGGACUAAGGUUCUGUAAUUAAGGAAGAAGGAGAACAAGACAUACGCAGAACUGCAACUGGGCCUUUGCCAGUGGGGAGAAAUGCUGCUGGGUGGUGCUCAGAGAAACAGGAUGCUGAUGGCAAGGAGAACAUCCCUCCCCAUCCACCAGCCCUGCAGGUAUCCUGAGGUUGCAGGACCAAGGACAGAGGGAUCCACAGUGGAACCUAGGUAUGGUAAUUGACCUCUAUUUCAGAUGGAAUAAGAGAGGAAAUGGUGGCCAUCUUGGAACGUGGGAUGACAUCCCCUCCUCUGCUAUGGUGUUGGGAAUGACUUGUGGGGUGCAGCCGCCAACUGAAUAGUGAACAGGGAGCUUCUACCAAUGGCUAACCCCGUCAAUUUCCAGAGCACCAGGGAGCAAAUGGCCUCACAAAGCCCCUGGAAACUCGUGCCUGGAAAUACAGAAAGUGGUAGUUUUUAUGCCAACAUCAAAUCAAGCAAAUUGAGAGUUAUGAUUAGAUAAGAGAAAUGGUGGGGUCUAAUUCACACACUAUCACAUGCUGCCACAUCUUGCAUGUGGAUACAGCAAAUGGGUUUUGCAGACUGAUCCUGGCUGGUGGUAGCACCCAAUGUUUAUGCUCUGAGUACUGCAUAUAAUGUUGUGUAAUCAUUUCUGCUAACGUUCCGAACAAAACUUUGUAAUAAGACGGCUUCUGCGUAUGUUAUACACUACAGAAAUGCUGGAAAGGUGGAGGUGAGGA